rnacentral:rRNA from 1 species
GACGUAGGGCACAAGCGUUGUCCGGAUUUAUUGGGCGUAAAGAGCUCGUAGGCGGCCUGUCGCGUCGACCGUGAAAACCCGCAGCUCAACUGCGGGCUUGCGGUCGAUACGGGCAGGCUGGAGUUCGGUAGGGGAGACUGGAAUUCCUGGUGUAGCGGUGAAAUGCGCAGAUAUCAGGAGGAACACCGGUGGCGAAGGCGGGUCUCUGGGCCGAUACUGACGCUGAGGAGCGAAAGCGUGGGGAGCGAACAGG